rfam:Oryza barthii chromosome 7, whole genome shotgun sequence.
UUUCAGCUCAGUUGUGGGUUUAUAUGUUUAAUAUUUAACCGAUUAUUUUUUAUGAUCAAUACUUUUAUAGUUAUUAGAUGAUAAAACAUUUAUAGUAUUUUAUGCGUGAUUUAUUUUUAAAAAUUUUUAUAAACUUUUCAAAUAUGACGGAUAAUUAAAUGUUGAAUACGGAAACUCACAAAUACACAUAAA